rnacentral:rRNA from 2 species
GAACGCUGGCGGCAGGCUUAACACAUGCAAGUCGAGCGCACUCUUCGGAGUGAGCGGCAGACGGGUGAGUAACGCGUGGGAAUCUACCCAUCUCUACGGAACAACAGUUGGAAACGACUGCUAAUNCCGUAUACGCCCCCAGGUUUUGGUGAUCUGGGGGGAAAGAUUUAUCGGAGAUGGAUGAGCCCGCGUUGGAUUAGCUAGUUGGUGGGGUAAAGGCCUACCAAGGCGACGAUCCAUAGCUGGUCUGAGAGGAUGAUCAGCCACACUGGGACUGAGACACGGCCCAGACUCCUACGGGAGGCAGCAGUGGGGAAUAUUGGACAAUGGGCGCAAGCCUGAUCCAGCCAUGCCGCGUGAGUGAAGAAGGCCCUAGGGUUGUAAAGUCUCUUUCAUCCGGUGAAG